rnacentral:rRNA from 1 species
GUUUGUUUGGAGGUAUAAGUAAUUUGGCCUGCCCCCUGAUAAUAGUAAUUAAAGGGCCGCAGUAUUUUAACUGUGCAAAGGUAGCAUAGUCAUUAGGUUUUUAAUUGGAAUCUUGUAUGAAUGGUUGGACAAAAGAGAUACUCUCUUUAUAUUAAUGUUGAAUUUAACUUUUAAGUGAAAAGGCUUAAAUAAUCUAAGGGGACGAUAAGACCCUAUAAAACUUUAUAUUAUAAUUAUGUCUUAGUGAAUUUUAAAUAAAGAUUUGAUUUAAUUAUUUAUUAUGUUGGGGAGACAUAGGUAAAAUAUUAUUUUAACUGCUUAUAAUUAAUACAAUAAUUUGUGAAUAAGUAAGAGAUCCUUUUUGAAGAUUAAUAAGUUAAGUUACUUUAGGGAUAACAGCGUAAUUUCUUUUGAGAGUUCUUAUCGAUAAAGGAGGUUGCGACCUCGAUGUUGAAUUAAAAAAUCUUUAUAAUGAAGAAGUUAUAUAAGAAGGUCUGUUCGACCUUUAAAAUUUUACAUGAUUUGAGUUCAAACCGGUGUGAG